rnacentral:tRNA from 1 species
GAGGGUAUAGCUCAACUGGUAGAGUGCACGCUUAACAUGCACAGAGAUCCUGGGUUCAAACCCCAGUACCUCCU